GUCCGUCCAAUAUCCAAUUGGAUAAUUUUAAAAUCUCCAUACUCACAAUCCAAAUAUUUUGAAUGAGUACGAUCUAAUCUAAGUAGAUGAUAUCUUGAAUGGAAAAUAAUGUUCUCACAAUAGUGAGAACAACACUAGCACAGCAAAUUACGUUUUGUACUGAGUAUAAAAACUUACUGUUGUGCUCAAAAUGCAAAAUUCUCGACUCUCUCUCUCUCUCUCUCUUGUCUUGCUUCCUUGCUCUCUCUCACUCUCUAUCUCUCUCUCGUCUCGCUCAAUUUUCUCAAUUUCCCUUCGCAAUUUGUCCUUCUGAAUUUCUCCUGCUUUUCAACUCUGUCUUUCUUUUCCAUAUGCUUGUUUUUUUUUUUCUACAAAAUGAGUAUAAUUCAUAGUAACGAACUGGUAACAACAGAAGAUUGGUAAAGUCAGCCACAUACAAGUAAAAUAUGCUAUAAAUUAUGAAAAGAUAAUCAUAUAUUGCAAAUUAUUAUAUAGAUUUCAAAAAUGUCCGAUAAUUUGUUUCCUCUAACAAUAUGAAAUUGUUAUACCAAUUUAAAAAAAAUUCGAUUCUUUGUUUCAAAACAACCCAAAUUUCAAAUUAAAAUAAUCUACAGCACACUUUGAAUCCUAACAAAUAAUUUACUAAUUCAAAACCCUUGACAAACCACAUUUCAAAUUAAUGUAAUGAAUUGAAACAAAUUAUCUUACGGCAAUUGUUGGAGAUGAGACAACGAUGGCUGAGCAAAGGGGGUGAGAGAGACAUGAUAGCUGUAGAUUUGGGAGAAGAGAGAGUGAGGGAGCGAGACAAGAGGGAAAGCUGAGAGAGACAAGAGAGAGAGAGCCGAUAGAGAGGGAGGGAGGGCGGGAGCGAGAAAUGCAACGUUACGUGCUCA
rnacentral:lncRNA from 1 species